rnacentral:rRNA from 1 species
GACGAACGCUGGCGGCGUGCUUAACACAUGCAAGUCGAACGGAAAGGCCCUGCUUUUGUGGGGUGCUCGAGUGGCGAACGGGUGAGUAACACGUGAGUAACCUGCCCUUGACUUUGGGAUAACUUCAGGAAACUGGGGCUAAUACCGGAUAGGAGCUCCUGCUGCAUGGUGGGGGUUGGAAAGUUUCGGCGGUUGGGGAUGGACUCGCGGCUUAUCAGCUUGUUGGUGGGGUAGUGGCUUACCAAGGGUUUGACGGGUAGCCGGCCUGCGAGGGUGACCGGGCACAUUGGGACUGAGAUACGGCCCAGACUCCUACGGGAGGCAGCAGUGGGGAAUAUUGCACAAUGGGCGGGAGCCUGAUGCAGCAACGCCGCGUGCGGGAUGAAGGCCUUCGGGUUGUAAACCGCUUUCGCAUGUGACGAAGCGUGAGUGACGGUAAUGGGUAAAGAAGCACCGGCUAACUACGUG